rnacentral:lncRNA from 1 species
AUGAUGAAGGAUCCCGAGGAAUUUCAGAGAGACGGAGUCGAAAGAAAUUACGUUGCCAUUAGACUUGAGUUCAACCACAUGCCACUUGCCAAACGAUGCUUCAGAGCAGUGGGAAUUGGAAGGCUAUCUGUAGUUGAGGUUCUUGGUAGAAAAGGUUCAAUGUUGCAGGUUAGCAGGCGUGUCACGACAAAUGGGCAGGGGCUGUUUCAGUUUGGUGAUUAUGUAUGGACAAGGUUUGGAGUCUUAGGCAUAACAUGA